GUGCUCACCUCGGCAACACAUAUACUAUAAAACUAGACUGAUACAGAGAAGAUUAGCAUAGGCCCUGUGCAAGGAUGACACGCAAAUUCAUAAAGUGUUCCAUAUUUAA